AGUGGAGUCGGGGUUCCCGGUGGUAACGGGAGGUGCUCCUAGCGCGGCUCGGCGGCUCGGGUCGGGAUGCUGGGCGUCGCUGUGGGGUCUUAGAAAUGCCGCCAGCAGCUUGACCCACUCGGGAAAGAUCCCGCUUGGAGUCGCAGCCCGUUUUCCAGACUCUCUCCCGAGAGAAUCGGUGUUCCGGGCGCCCCGAGCGUGGGCGGAAGAGCGACGCGGAGCUCGCAGGUUCCCGUAAGGCGACUUGCAAAGAAAGCCCAGGUGUCCUCGCACUGUAGCGGAUGUUUGCUCUCGGAAGCCUUCUGCGGUUUAAGCAUCACUUAGGAGAGCGCUUUAAAAAGCCCUCUGUGUGCCCUGUGGGAGCCGUGCGAUUGCGUUCAGGACAGAUGUUUUGCCUACAUGUGUGUCUGAGCAGCAUCUGCAUGCCUGGUGCCCAGAGGCCAGAAAAGGACACAGGAUUCCCCUGGAACUGGGAUUAUCCACAGCUGUGAGCAGUCAGGGUGGCCCUGCAUUAUGAAUAUUAAGUAACGAGUACCAAUAACAGUGCUGAACCUACAGUAGGUGACGCAACAAACCAACAAACAAAAACACCAGGCAGCUCUUCUCUAUUCUACUUGACCCUGAUCAAAGUCAUACUUGAAAUAACAGCAGAAGAAGCCAAACCACCCUACCACAUGACCCUUCAUUGGUCCCUGGUGGACAUGUGGGUUCUGGUGAGAAGCCGAGAACAGAGAAGGCAUGACUCAUGGUGCGGAACCUGUGACAAGAGCAUCAAGGUCAUCAGUGAGCACUAACUGGGUCAUCGGGAGGGACCAUCACUGUGACAAACCCAUGCUUAUCACAGGUCAUGUGUCCAUGAUUCUUUCUAUAAUGUUUCCUUGCAUAUGUGUGUGGUACAUGCAUGUGUAUAUGAAUGCUCACAUAUAUGGACACAUGUGAGAGCGUGUGUGCGUGUGUACAUGUGUGUUUCUGUGGUGUAUAUGUGUGCUCAUGUAUAUAUGGGCACGCAUGUGUGUAUGUGUGCUCACAUAUAUGGGAACAUGUGUGAGAUUUGUGCGUGUAAACGUGUGCUCAUGCACAUAUGGGCACACAUAUGUGAGAGUGUGGGUGUGAGUGCAUAUGUGUAUUGUGGUGUAUGUAUAUGCACGCUCAUCUAUAUAUGGGCAUGUGUGCAUGUGUUUGUGCAAGCAUGGUCAUGUAUAUAUGGAUGCACACAUGUGUGCAUGGGUGUGUGUGCAUGCAUGUAUGUGUGUGUUCACUUAUAUAUGGACAUGUGUGAGAAUGGGGAUGUGUGCAUGUGUGUGUUUUGUGUGUAUAUGUGUGCUCAUGUACAUAUGGGCACAUGCGUGAGAGUGUGAAUGGGUAUGCACAUGUACAUGUGUGAACGUAUAUGCAUGCAGAGGUCGGUGUUGACAUUGGGAGUCUUCCUGAAUUGCUUUUCACUUUAUUUCAGUGAGGAAUGUUUCUCCUUGAAUCUAAGACUUUCCCAUUCUAGCGAGUUCAGCCAACCAACUUGCCCUGAGGGUCUCUGCCUGAACUCUAUGUGCUGGGUGUCCAAAAUCUAGCCCUCCCACCUGCAACAAGUGAUUUAUCCACAGAGCCACACCCUCAGCCUGCCUAUGUAUUUCUUGAGACAUGGUCUUCCUGUAUAGCCUAAGCUAGCUAUGCUAUGAGCCAACUCUGGCUUCAGACUCAGAAUCCUGCUUUGUCUCACAGGUUGUGACAUUUUAGGUGUGAGCCACUAUGCCUGGCCCAGGGUUCUCAAUAGCAGAAUGUCUGCUGUAGAUUAACGUUGUGUUUUCAGUGGUCAUAGGUCAUUUAGUGAAUCAUUAAAUUAAGUUCAAUGAGAAGAAAUAAACUCAAUGUUACAAUAUCCUGGUCAGGUGACUAUUAACCCCAUUUUAUAGGUGAGGAAGUUAACACUUAGGAAGCUAAAUAACUGGUCCAAAUCCAUAGUACUAUCUCAAGAAAUAACAGAGAGAGCCGGGUGAUAGUGGCACAUGCCUUUGGUCCCAGCACUUGGGAGGCAGAGGCAGGCAGAUUUCUGUGAGUUCGAAGCCAGCCUGGUCUAUAAGAGCUUGUUCCAGGACAAGUUCCAAAGCAACAUACAGAAACCCUGUCUCGAUAAACCAAAAGAAAAAUGAACAAAAGAGAAAGAAAGAAGAGAGAAAAGGGAAGAAGGAAAGAAAGAAAGAAAAAGAAAGAAAAGGAAAAGGAUUUAUGAAAAUAGUUGGGCAAUAUUGUGUUGAAAUUAGGUUAAAUAUCAGUCUGUAUCACACAAAGCAUCCACAUAUAAAUUUUAUUGGCAGUUUAGACCAUUUGACAACUUCUAGAAAACCUUCUGCAAACUGUAAAGUACUAUGCCAAACUCCUGUAUGUGAGCAUGUAUAUGCAUGCACACACAUGCAUCAGACCUGAAGAAAGGAACUCUUGGUCUUGUUACCAUCCACAGAAAUUUAAACUUUUAUCUAAGGCCUAAAAUUUUCGAGUGACUUCUUUGAUAAGAGAGAGUUUCAUGUUUUAAAAAAUGUGAAAUAGUAGUAUGCACUUCACAGUCUAUAUGGGAACUAUUCCAUAUGUCAUGUGAUCCUUCAACAGUCUACAGAAUUUACGUGUGGACUUUGUGCAACGCAGGCUGUAAGCAUGGUCACAGCUGAUAACGACUGCUUAUCAACAAGAAAGCCAACACAUUUGACCACAGUCCAAUAGUAUAAAAGUGCUGUUUAUAGAUAAUCUAUUUCUAGCUCUCAAGGAAGCAAUGUCAUCACUAACUGGUUGCUGUGCAGGUAUUCAGCAGCUUCCAAAGGUUAAACUUGAUAGUGCAGUCAGUACAUUGUCUCUGAAACACCCAGGUCUUUUCAAAGUCAUAGUGGUGCUCCUCGGACGCCUUCGUCACUUCGUAAAGAGACAUAGUGGCAUGAGGCUUCUUACAACUGCGUGUGAGUGUCCAGUUGCCUACAUCAACAUGACAACUUCUUUUAAAAACUCACUGUGGGGAUGGAGAGAUGUCUUAGUGGUGAAGAGUGCUUGCUGUUCAAUCAGGAGGAUCUGAGUUCAGAUUCUCCCACCCAUGAAACACACACACACACGCACACAUGCAACCAAACACACACACAUACUUCAAAACACCAAAAUAAAUUUUUUUUGAAAAUUGCUAUGGCCACUUCAGGUGUUAACAUUCAAAUAUUCUCACUUCUUCUUUUGCUUCUUCUUUUCUGGGAAAAGCAAACACAUCUCACAGACAGAAGCCCUUCCGGUCUGGGCUGGUGCCCUUUAUGCAGUUUCAUAAGACCCAUAAGCUUGUCACGUUCCUGUCAGAGGUACUUUUUGGUGAUCCCAAUCAGUUUUUAAAUAGGUAAACAUUUUUUUUUUAAAGAACAAAAGAGAAAAUGGCAGGAUGUACCACAGACGGGAAAGAGAUAUUCCAUCAAUAUUUUGAGUGUUUAUGCCUAUUGCGCACAUUCUGAGUGAGACACUUUAUUUUCAGGGACCAUUUCUAUAGGUCAUAACAAGCUUUGGAAGCUUUGAGUAUGACUUUUUAAUGAACAUGCAAGGUUAUUUUAAAUGUUUUAUUUGGGGGUCACAGCGUAACUGAAACUCUUGGGCUUAUUGAUCCUUUUGCCUCUGCCUCUGUACUCUGUACGAGUAGGACUGCAGGUGUCUCCCCUGUGCACAUGAGGGAAUUACUAGAGGUCCCGUGGACAUGGAUGGACUAGAAGAACAAUUAGGAAUAUAUGCUUCUUUAUGCCCUCUCAACAGCUUUGAAAGCAAAAUAGGAAUUCCCAUGAUUUUUCUGAAGGCAAGGGAGAAAUGAUAGUAUCUUCCAGUAAACACACACACCUUUAUUCACUGUAAUUGAACCACAUGACUAUUCUUGAGUCUAUUACUGACGGGGGGGGGGGAGAUGAUGUUAUGUAGACUAAUUAGGCUACUCCUUGGAACUGUCACCAGCCUUUUUUAGGCUCAUGCGUGGGUGGGAGGAAAGGAAACAAAGAAAGGAGGACACUUUGUACAACAAGCAAUCAAGAGCAUUGGCUGUGUUUAAACUCGUAAAAUCUUCAGCACCAUACCCUAAUAGUGGAUUGGUCGUUGAACCUUUUCAUCAGCAAAGCAGUUUCAUCUUGAGAAACGGUCAUUUUCCUAAUCACAGGAGAAUGCCUCCAAAAGUGUUUAAAACACAGCAAAGAAGGCAAGGGCUUCUAUUUUGUUUACCACCAAAAGAAAUUUCAAUUUUUCCUGCAAAUAAUAGGCUGUAUUCACUACCAGAAAGACAACAGCCAUGAGUGACCCAUAUGGCAACAAGCCAAUGUCAGAGAGCAGCGGUCACAUCGCCACGCAGGGCGCUGAUCCUCUCUCCGAUCCCUCCCCCCACUGAGAAGUUGCCCUUCAGCGUUAUGCCCAUGUGUGCUUGCCAACUUUCUGCAUCAUGACACAAAGACACUGCUGGCUAGGAUCACCGUGGCCUGAAGAACAGCAAGCAUGAAGCCAGCCAGGCUUACAUGAAACGGAGUUUGCGGAAUGGCUGUGCCGUUUGGAAAGUUCCCUUUAUGAGAGGCAAGCAGAAAGUCAACAGCCCACAGUUGCUCAAAUCCGAGCUUUGGUUUCCUUGCCACAGCCGGCCACUUCCCCCCCGCUCAGGAGAAUUAGCGUUAAGUUGCAUUUUUAACUAUGUCCCUAGGGGAGUGUUGAGCAAGAUGAAAAACAUGCCUGGUCACCAAUAAAUCAUUUCUGGAAAUGGGGCAUUUCAGGAAAAUUAAACAAAGCAGAGAAAAGCCUUAGCUUGCAGUUUAUUGUUAUAGAACUUGAGUGAUAGUUUUCCUCCAUGCUUAGACCAAUACCAAGCAGGAAACAGGGGGUGGGGAAGCAAAAAUCCUGCCCAGAAUAUAGAAGAGGACAGACGAUAAGAUCAUUGUCCUUUGAAACGAAACCUCGGUGGCUAAUUCUUUAACCCUUUCCCUACUCUGAUAAUUGGUAGACAUUCGAUGAUGAAGAGAUACCUCCGAAAAAAUCCCCACAAGGGUGGAACACAACUUUUCAUAGGUAUUCUAAAACUCAGCUACUUUCCAAAAUAACUACCUUCCCUUGUGCCCUGGCUGUAACGUGCAGGUAAAUUGCUCUCCCUGGGAUCAUUGUGGAGGAUACGGUGCAUGGAGAAACAGUGUGUGGAGCUCCUUCAGCUGAUGUCCGGAAAUACUUUCUGUGGGUUGAAAAAUCAGACUUCCCCUUCGGGCCCUUGUGACUUUAGAUGGGCAAACGGUGUUGUGGGUCUUCUACUUUUCUGUGGUCCACAAUUCCUACACCUGGUUGUCUCCUAAUUGCUGCUGUUGUAUCUAUCACAACGGUGUCAGCCCAAUUGAUGAGCGGAGCUCAUUGCUGGCUGCCUCCAUAGCAACCCUCUGAGGAUGCUCUAUGACCUCCCCGUGAGCCCAUGAUGAACAAAGGCACAUCGUCAUUUCUCUUAUUUUAAUAUUUGCCUACCCCAAAUGGUAAAGAACUGGUCAGAAAUCAGAAAAUAUUUUAGCAAGUCAAAGGUUAGUUCUGUUCGUUAAAUGCCUUACUGACGUUACUGACUUUGAAGGCUUAUUCCUGUCAUCCACCUUGAAUAAAUCACUGUGUUCUCUCAAUUUCUAUUUUAUGCUGCAGAAAAUUGAUAUUGCUAGGAUGAGUAUAUUCCUUUUUAAAAAGUAGUAUUUUUUAAAUUCUUUGAGAAUUUUAUACUGUGUAUUUUUGUUAUAUUGAUCCCCAACUUAUCCCAUAUCAAUCCUCUCUACCCUAACCUCCCUACUCACUCAACUUUUGAGGUAUCUCCCCAUCCCCUGUCCACACUGAGUUCAGUUUGUGUUGCUCGACUAUCUUGGGAGAGAGUCCUGCCCUGGAAGUCACCUACCUGGAGCCAUGUCACUAAAGGGUCACCUACCUGGAGUCAUGUCACUAAAGGAAGUUCACCCUCCCUUUCCCAGAAGUUAAUAGCUCUCCAGCUAGUGAUGGGAUUUUGUCUGUUACAUUCAUGUGUGUAGCUGUUCUUUUGUGUUUGGAAAAUACUCUUUCCUUGAAGUCACGCUACCUCCGGCUCUCACAAUCCACGCACCCCAUGAUCCUUGUGGGGAGGGGUAUGGCAUAGACCUCCCAUUUGGGACUGAGCCUGCCACCAUCUCUCACUCUUUUCUCAUUGACCUGUUGUAGGUCUCUGUCGAUUGCCGUUGACUACAAGAAGAAGCUUCUCUGAUGGACCUUGUGAGAUGCUCUGAUCUGCAGGCACAGCAGUCUCGGAAGCCAUGGCUUUGUGAGUAUACAGAUACCUGUUGGUUGUCCAUCAUGGCGGUUGAAGAAACCAGUUUGCACUGGCUGGGUGGCACAGACUAUGCGUACAGCAACAGGCCAGCACAGUCCUUCCCAUCUGCAUGAUCAGGAUGUAGAACUCUCAGCUCCUUCUCCAGCACCCUGCCUGCUUGCAUGCUGCUGUGCUUCCCCCAAGAAGAUAAUGUACUGAACCUCUGAAACUGUAAGCCAGUCCCAAUUAAAUGUUUUCCUUGAUAAGAGUUGCUGUGGUCAUGGUGUCCCUUCAUAGCAAUGGAAAUCUUAAU